CACGACGUGGUGAACUUUUAAAAACGGAUUCAGUAGUACCAAAAUACUCAUAAUGUGCAGACAGACAAAAGAACUGGAAGGAGUCGUGUUUUCAGACACAGGAAGCUUUUCACGUGCUCCACCUGGACCUCAUCUCUCAGCCUCACACUCCGAUCUUCAGCAGCCCCCGCUAUGCGCCCGAGUCUUGGGACGUCAUCCCGGAGCUCCUAGCCUGCCCGGGAGGCAGAGCCAUCAGUUGUCUAUCUUUUAGAUUCUCCUCUUGGCCCCUUAUCCCAACUAAACACAUCACCACUGAGGACCUGUCCAGGGGUUUAGCUCCUGAUGAAGAGACAGAGAAAAGGUCAGAGAAAGGAAGGGUGACGCUCCAUCCAAGAUGACUACAGCGCUAUGAUUUCCAGAUGGGGAAGGUCACGGAUGCUGGACGCAACAGAAUCUCAACAGGGACCCGAGAGAGAGAGGCUCCUCUCUCCCUACACUAAUAUCCCACGAUCCCUGUGUCACUUUCCAGAACACACUGUCAGUUCCAUGGACCUAGGAUUAUAAAAUCCUGUAAGAUUUAUACAGAAAAUAUAAAAAUCUGGGGAGGGGGAACUGUGAAACAAUGUGAAAAAAACUAUUUGUCAAAUGGACAGUGGGGAAUAACUUCUCCUCCCGCACCUCCUCCAAGCUUCUAACAACACUCAUGGCACACAAUACAGAGGAGACUGCCAUAAAAAUGACUUAAAAUGUGCCCUUUUGAGGUAAAGUAACUAUGGGACAAGUGACUAUAAAAAUGACACAGCUGGGGAGAUCCAAAUCUAUUCCUGCUCAGCAAGUUUCCAGAUUAAAAUGUGUCUGCUUACCUAGUCAA